UACGUAGGGUGCAAGCGUUGUCCGGAAUUAUUGGGCGUAAAGAGCUCGUAGGCGGUUCGUCGCGUCGGCUGUGAAAUCCCGAGGCUCAACCUCGGGUCUGCAGUCGAUACGGGCGGACUGGAGUUCGGAAGGGGAGACUGGAAUUCCUGGUGUAGCGGUGAAAUGCGCAGAUAUCAGGAGGAACACCGGUGGCGAAGGCGGGUCUCUGGGCCGAUACUGACGCUGAGGAGCGAAAGCGUGGGGAGCGAACAGG
rnacentral:rRNA from 1 species